rnacentral:rRNA from 1 species
UGCAGUCGGACGACAGGCGAGGAAUCCGCAAGGAGGAAUCGUGCUGAGUGGCGAACGGGUGAGUAAGACAUGGGGACGUACCCUCAAGAGGGGGAUAGCAUUCCGAAAGGGAUGGUAAUACCCCGUAAGCUCGAGAGAGGGAAGGUGCAACAGCACCGCUUGAGGAGCGACUCAUGGCCCAUCAGUUAGUUGGUGAGGUAAAGGCCCACCAAGGCUAUGACGGGUAGCUGGUCUGAGAGGAUGGUCAGCCACACUGGGACUGAGACACGGCCCAGACUCCUACGGGAGGCAGCAGUGGGGAAUUUUUCCCAAUGGGCGAAAGCCUGAGGGAGCGACGCCGCGUGGAGGAAGGAGUCUUUCGAGAUGUAAACUCCUGUUGUAAGGGAGCAAGGGUAUAUGUAGUGGAAAGGCAUAUACUCGGAUAGUACCUUACGAGGAAGCCCCGGCUAACUACGUGCCAGCAGCCGCGGUAAUACGUAGGGGGCGAGCGUUGUCCGGAGUUACUGGGCGUAAAGGGUGCGUAGGUGGCCGAUAAAGUCAAUUGUGAAAUUCCACGGCUCAACUGUGGGAGUGCGGUUGAAACUAAUCGGCUUGAGGUCAGGUCAGGAAGAUGGAAUUGUCAGUGUAGGGGUGAAAUCCGUAGAUAUUGGCAAGAACGCCGGUGGUGAAGACGGUCUUCUGGGCUGAUACUGACACUGAGGCACGAAAGCUAGGGGAGCGAACGGGAUUAGAUACCCCGGUAGUCCUAGCCGUAAACGAUGUUCACUGGGUAUGGGAGGCGUUAGCCAUCCGUGCUGAA